GGCAGUGUUUAGGCCACAGCCACAUGUGGCUGUGGCCUAAACACUGCC
rnacentral:miRNA from 1 species